rnacentral:rRNA from 1 species
UACGGAGGGUGCGAGCGUUAUCCGGAAUUACUGGGUUUAAAGGGUGCGUAGGCGGCUUGGUAAGUCAGGAGUGAAAGUUUGCGGCUCAACCGUAAAAUUGCUUUUGAUACUGCCAGGCUAGAAUCAGGAUGAGGUCAGCGGAAUGUGGCAUGUAGCGGUGAAAUGCAUAGAUAUGCCAUAGAACACCUACUGCGAAGGCAGCUGGCUAGACCUGUAUUGACGCUGAGGCACGAAAGCGUGGGGAGCGAACAGG